AUUGAACGCUGGCGGCAGGCUUAACACAUGCAAGUCGAGCGGAGAUGAGGUGCUUGCACCUUAUCUUAGCGGCGGACGGGUGAGUAAUGCUUAGGAAUCUGCCUAUUAGUGGGGGACAACAUUCCGAAAGGAAUGCUAAUACCGCAUACGUCCUACGGGAGAAAGCAGGGGAUCUUCGGACCUUGCGCUAAUAGAUGAGCCUAAGUCGGAUUAGGUAGUUGGUGGGGUGAAGGCCUACCAAGGCGACGAUCUGUAGCGGGUCUGAGAGGAUGCUCAGACACACUGGGACUGGGACAAGGCCCAGACUCCUACGAGAGGGAGCAGUGGGGAAUAUUGGACAAUGGGGGGAACCCUGAUCCAGCCAUGCCGCGUGUGUGAAGAAGGCCUUUUGGUUGUAAAGCACUUUAAGCGAGGAGGAGGCUACCUGGAUUAAUACUCUAGGAUAGUGGACGUUACUCGCAGAAUAAGCACCGGCUAACUCUGUGCCAGCCGCCGCGGUAACAC
rnacentral:rRNA from 1 species